rnacentral:rRNA from 1 species
UACGAAGGGGGCUAGCGUUGCUCGGAAUCACUGGGCGUAAAGAGCUCGUAGGCGGUGUGUCGCGUCGGCCGUGAAAACCUGCAGCUUAACUCUGGGCGUGCGGUCGAUACGGGCAUCACUAGAGUUCGGCAGGGGAGACUGGAAUUCCUGGUGUAGCGGUGAAAUGCGCAGAUAUCAGGAGGAACACCGGUGGCGAAGGCGGGUCUCUGGGCCGAUACUGACGCUGAGGCGCGAAAGCUAGGGUAGCAAACGGG